CAAGCUACAUGUUUUUAUUUUUUCUUGAUUUAUUCAAAAAUAAACAUGCUAAAAUAUUGAUGGGUUAAUCAUUGGAUGAUUGAUUAUAUGAUACUUUAAUUUGAUUUUGCAGUAUGGAUUCUGGAAAUAUUGAUCAUAGCAAAAAUAUUGAUGAUGAUGAAUUAGAAAUGUUGGAUGCACCUAAAAUUCCUCCUAGUCAACAAGAAGGCACAAAUAAUAAUUUUG
rnacentral:lncRNA from 1 species